CAACCAGUCUGAGAUGGAAUGUAUUUGUCCAGGGAAGGGAGAGGAAAAAGAUGAACACGUGACUGAGGAAAGUGAGUCAGAGGCUGAGGGAAGCAGCCCAAUGCCCUGUUCCUGCCAGAGAGAAGAACACUCAGGGGCCGUUGACAAGGACUGAGGGCUGGCCUGAAAACCUUCAGGCUGCCUCCAACCUUCAGGACUGGGACUUCACGUCAAGCCAUCACACCUUUGUCUCACGACAAUUCUUGUUUGGGAAGAAGGCAUACGAUACAUUCAUUAGCACUGGUUCUCAUCGCUCUACGUACAAGCUAAACAGAGUAUGGCAAAGCCUGUGAACAUCUGCUCUCUGAGUGGAAAGCUUGGAUAUCGUUCAAGUGAGUUCAGGCCAACGCAUCGAUUACAUUUCUCUGCUGCUUUUAGACUUCUCUCCGCACUCAGAGCUCGCCAAACAGAAGAGCCAAGAGCAAUUCUACUGGAGAAGGCCAUUUUCCAGCAAGACAAAACAGCUAACAUUUUCUCUCCCAUCCCAAGGCCUGCAUCAGAAACAGCACUCGGGAUUUGUAUUAAUAUAUCCCAUUAGAAUAUUUACAUUUAAGCAAUUUACAGUUGGUGGAUCAACAAACUUCAUAAAGAAUACAACCCGCUGACACCAGUAAAUGGGGGCUUCGAUGCAGACUGCAAGUGAAUAAUUCCUUAGGACUAUUAUGAAUGUUAAUGAUUCCAGUUCUCAAGUCAUAUUGUACCCAGUGACUUCCCACAGCGACGUCACAAAGUCACAGAUGCUUCUCAUGCAGCCUUCUCUGCGACUCUGCACUCCAGCUCUAAUAAAUACGAUUAACACAGAGAAUGUCACAAGGUCCUCCACAGAAGGGCAAGUUGCUGCGCUGUGACUGACCCUGUCGUGUGUGACUCAUGAGCACGUGCUCUUGACCCCCAUUGUGCUUUCUCUGUCAGAGCACUGAACAGAAUAACGACUUCCACACCAGCAUUGCGCACUCUUCCUAUUUUCUUAACUAUCUGCCUUUUAAAAUAUAACAAUAACUAAGG